rnacentral:rRNA from 1 species
GCAAGUCGAACGAGACCUUCGGGUCUAGUGGCGCACGGGUGCGUAACGCGUGGGAAUCUGCCCUUGGGUUCGGAAUAACAGUUGGAAACGACUGCUAAUACCGGAUGAUGACGUAAGUCCAAAGAUUUAUCGCCCAGGGAUGAGCCCGCGUAGGAUUAGCUAGUUGGUGAGGUAAAGGCUCACCAAGGCGACGAUCCUUAGCUGGUCUGAGAGGAUGAUCAGCCACACUGGGACUGAGACACGGCCCAGACUCCUACGGGAGGCAGCAGUGGGGAAUAUUGGACAAUGGGCGAAAGCCUGAUCCAGCAAUGCCGCGUGAGUGAUGAAGGCCUUAGGGUUGUAAAGCUCUUUUACCCGGGAUGAUAAUGACAGUACCGGGAGAAUAAGCUCCGGCUAACUCUGUGCCAGCAGCCGCGGUAAUACGGAGGGAGCUAGCGUUGUUCGGAAUUACUGGGCGUAAAGCGCACGUAGGCGGCGAUCUAAGUCAGAGGUGAAAGCCCGGGGCUCAACCCCGGAAUAGCCUUUGAGACUGGAUUGCUUGAAUCCAGGAGAGGUGAGUGGAAUUCCGAGUGUAGAGGUGAAAUUCGUAGAUAUUCGGAAGAACACCAGUGGCGAAGGCGGCUCACUGGACUGGUAUUGACGCUGAGGUGCGAAAGCG